CCUACGGGUGGCAGCAGUGGGGGAUAUUGCACAAUGGGGGAAACCCUGAUGCAGCGACGCCGCGUGGGCGAAGAAGUAUUUCGGUAUGUAAAGCCCUAUCAGCAGGGAAGAAGCAAUGACGGUACCCGAGUAAGUAGCACCGGAUAAAUAAGUGCCAGCAGCCCCGGUUAUACGAGUGGUGCAAGCGUUAUCCGGAUUUAAUGGGGGUAAAGGGAGGGCAGGCGGCACGGCAAGCCUGAUGUGGAAGCCCUCGGCCCAACCGCGGGACUGCAUUGGGGACUGCCGGGCUGGAGUACCGGAGAGGUAGGCGGAAUUCCUAGUGUAGCGGUGAAAUGCGUAGAUAUUAGGAGGAACACCAGUGGCGAAGGCGGCCUACUGGACGGUGACUGACGCUGAGGCUCGAAAGCGUGGGGAGCAAACAGGAUUAGAUACCCUGGUAGUC
rnacentral:rRNA from 1 species